UUUUUUCGAUUUAGGUAAAGGUUAAACUUAGUUAUACUGAGCAAACUAUUAAAUAUUGAUCCAAUGCUAUUAAGUUUAUGUUUUUCUAAAGGAUUUUUUUUUCCCAAUUUAGGUAAAGGUUAAACUUAGUUAUACUGAGUAAACUAUUGGAUAUUGAUCCAAUGCUAUUAAGACUCAGUCAAGUUUUGGUUAAUAAAAGA
rnacentral:lncRNA from 1 species